rnacentral:rRNA from 1 species
GCCAGUGAUAAACUGGAGGAAGGUGGGGAUGAUGUCAAGUCAGCACGGCCCUUAUGGGGUGGGCUACACACGUGCUACAAUGGCGACUACAAUAGGUUGCAACGUCGCAAGGCUGAGCUAAUCCGUUAAAGUCGUCUCAGUUCGGAUUGUCCUCUGUAACUCGAGGGCAUGAAGUCGGAAUCGCUAGUAAUCGUGGAUCAGCAUGCCACGGUGAAUACGUUCUCGGGUCUUGUACACACUGCCCGUCACGCCAUGGGAAUUGGCUUAACUCGAAGCUGGUGCGCCAACCGAAAGGAGGCAGCCAUUUAAGGUUGGGUCGGUGACUGGGGUGAAGUCGUAACAAGGUAGCUGUAGGUGAACCUGCGGCUGGAUCA